UAACAAUAGGAUUUGCUAGGCCCCAGGC
rnacentral:piRNA from 1 species